CAAUAGACAUGUUGAGUUCUACUUCUGCAAUUCCUAUUACAGGUAGCUGAGUGACGUUGAGAUGAUCAGCUGGAAAUGGCAUGGUGAGGUCUACUUCUGCAAUACCCAUGACAGGCCCUCAAGUGAUAUUGGGCAGAUCAUCAGGAGAUGGCCCACUUGUGACGUUGGGAAGAUUAGCUGGAAAGAGUUUUUCUCCUACAAUACGGAUGACAGGCAGUCUAUUGAUAUUGUACCAAUAACCAAGUGAUGGCAACCUCAAUUCCUUCUAUAGGCAUGGAUAGUUCUACUUCUGCAACACACAUUGCAGCUGUCUCAGUAAUUUUGAGGAAACUACAAGAAGGAAUGAUGAGUUCUACUCUUGCCAUAACCAUGGAUAAGCAGUUGAGUGAUUUUGGGCAGAUCACUAGAUAAAACUGGAAAACUAUGUAAAAGCUGGAACAUGACCACUGAAGUAAAAACAAGGAUAGAGAAAACUUGAACAGUAUUCUUCAAAAUGAAAAAGGUCUUCUGUAGUCACAACAUAAGCCUAAGAUUGAAAAUCAGGCUUGUCAGAUGCUAUAUCUUUUCUAUCCUGCUCUAUGGAGUGGAGAGUUGGUCUCUGACAGAAAGCCACUUGAAGAGACUAGAAGCAUUUGAAAUGUGGAUUUACAGACGGCUGUUACAUAUAAGUUGGGUUGACAAAAUCAGAAAUGAGGAGGUGAUAAGCCACCUGGGAAAGCCAAGGGAAAUAAUCAAAACCAUACAAAAGCGAAAGUUAGAAUAUUUUGGACAUAUGAUGUGACACCUUGAAAAAUACGGCAUCCUUCACUUAAUCCUCCAAGAAAAGAUUGAAGGCAAACAAGGUCCAGGCAGACGAAGAACAUCAUGGCUUCAAAAUCUAAAGGAGUGGUUUGGUCAAAACUCAGCAGCACUUUUUCACACGGCUGUCGAUAAAAAUAGGAUCGCCAACAUGAUUGCCAACGUCCGAUGACAGAUAUGGCACAACAACAAGAAGAAGACAGGAAUCUGAAUGACUUUGGGCAGAUCACCAGGAGAUGGUGUGUUUUACUCCUACAAUACAUACGACGGCUGGCUCAGUGACUUUGGAUCAAUCACCAGGAGAUGGCAUGCUGAGUUCCAGUCCUCCAAUACCCAUGUUCAGUGGUUAAGUGAGAUUUGUUCAAUCAAUAGGAGACAGUGGGUUCAUCUCCUAUAAUAUGCAUGACAGGUGGCUGAAUGACUUUGGGCAGAUCACAAGAAGACGGUGAGUUCUACCCCUUCAAUUUGCAUGGCAGCUGGCUGAGUGUAUUUGAGCCAAUCAGUAGGAGAUGGUGAGUUCAAAUCCUGCAAUAUGUAUGACAGACAGCUUUAUGACUUUGGCCAGAUCAGUAAAGGAUGAGUUCUACUUCUGCAAUACGCACAACAGUGACUGAGUGACUUUGGACCAAUAACCAGGAAAAGCCCUAGGAAGGAGCCAAUGGCAAAUCACUUUUCAAAAACCAAGAUGCCAAGAAAAAGUGCACAGAUUUGUUCAGACAGUCUCUGAGAAUUGGAUCUAAUUGAACAGAAGAAAAAAAGAGAGAUGUGGAUGAUGAAGAGACCCUCCUCAGCAUAUCGUGUCCUGGCUAAGACCACAAUGAGGGCUGGGCAGAAGCCCUUUUGGCCCCCCACACAGACCAACAUCCCCUGUUGCAUGAUCUGAAGUCAUCGACUGAAGUGGGACCCAAGCCAUUUCAAUGGGCGGUUGUUGAAUGAGCCAGAACCACUUGAUGCAGCAUUGUAUUAACCAACAAGCAUAGAGUCCCCACAAGCCAUGAAUCUGAACCAAAUUAAUCUGGGCAAGCUGGUUGGGAAUUCUGGGAGUUGAAGUCCCCACAUCUUAAAGUCGCCAAGUUGGAGAAACACCAAUUUAGAGUCUUCCCCAACUCCAGCUGGCUGCAGGCGGCUCAUUUUCCCCAAUGGAAUAAUGAAAAUAAAAAAGAAAUAAACUGACCAUGAGCAUCCAGGAGAUCCUCAGAAAUUCAUAGCAAUCUGUGAGGGCUUCUCUGCCACCCUGCCCCAAAAGCUGGCACUGAGCCCAGCUUUGUAAAGACCUGACCGGCUCACAGAAGAAGUCUACCUGGGAUCAUCAUGAUUCAGUUCAUAAUUUAUUCCUAAUAAAUGUUGCCAGACAAAUCAUGAUA